UCUGGAAGCUGAACUAUUCCUUGUGUGCAGAUGAAGUGUCUGCCCACGUCAUCAGGCUUCCUAUAAUAAUGUCCUGGCGAUCUCUGUCUGACUCUGUACAGUGCACAGUGCCAGAUCGUUCCUCUCCAUACACU